GCCGCGAAUUCGCCCUUAGGGUUUGAUUAUGGCUCAGGACGAACGCUGGCGGCGUGCCUAAUACAUGCAAGUCGAACGCUUCUUUCCUCCCGAGUGCUUGCACUCAAUCGGAAAGAGGAGUGGCGGACGGGUGAGUAACACGUGGGUAACCUACCCAUCAGAGGGGGAUAACACUUGGAAACAGGUGCUAAUACCGCAUAACAGUUUAUGCCGCAUGGCAUAAGAGUGAAAGGCGCUUUCGGGUGUCGCUGAUGGAUGGACCCGCGGUGCAUUAGCUAGUUGGUGAGGUAACGGCUCACCAAGGCCACGAUGCAUAGCCGACCUGAGAGGGUGAUCGGCCACACUGGGACUGAGACACGGCCCAGACUCCUACGGGAGGCAGCAGUAGGGAAUCUUCGGCAAUGGACGAAAGUCUGACCGAGCAACGCCGCGUGAGUGAAGAAGGUUUUCGGAUCGUAAAACUCUGUUGUUAGAGAAGAACAAGGACGUUAGUAACUGAACGUCCCCUGACGGUAUCUAACCAGAAAGCCACGGCUAACUACGUGCCAGCAGCCGCGGUAAUACGUAGGUGGCAAGCGUUGUCCGGAUUUAUUGGGCGUAAAGCGAGCGCAGGCGGUUUCUUAAGUCUGAUGUGAAAGCCCCCGGCUCAACCGGGGAGGGU
rnacentral:rRNA from 1 species